UACGUAGGGGGCUAGCGUUGUCCGGAUUUAUUGGGCGUAAAGAGCGUGUAGGCGGCCAGGUAGGUCUGCUGUGAAAACUCGAGGCUUAACCUCGAGAUGUCGGCGGAAACCAUCUGGCUAGAGUCCGGAAGAGGAGAGUGGAAUUCCUGGUGUAGCGGUGAAAUGCGUAGAUAUCUGGAGGAACACCGGUGGCGAAGGCGACAUCCUGGACCGGUAUUGACGCUGAGGCGCGAAAGCCAGGGGAGCAAACGGG
rnacentral:rRNA from 1 species